ACAUGCCUACAACAUAUCAUUAAUGCACCAGAUCCCAUUAGAACUUCACAAUUAACCACGCUCAUGCUAGAGUAGUAUUGGGAUUGGUGAUCGCCUGGGAAGUCCUAGUGUUUUACAUGCC
rnacentral:rRNA from 1 species